rnacentral:rRNA from 1 species
CCCUUAGAUGUUCUGGGCCGCACGCGCGCUACACUGACGAAUGCAACGAGCUUAUAACCUUGGCCGAAAGGUCUGGGUAAUCUCCAAAUUUCGUCGUGAUGGGGAUAGAUUAUUGCAAUUAUUAAUCUUGAACGAGGAAUUCCUAGUAAACGCAGAUCAUCAAUCUGCAUUGAUUACGUCCCUGCCCUUUGUACACACCGCCCGUCGCACCUACCGAUUGGAUGGUCCGGUGAAGCCUCGGGAUUGUGGCGGUUGCCUUUAUUGGUGGCCGCCGCGAGAACUUGUCUAAACCUUAUCAUCUAGAGGAAGGUGAAGUCGUAACA